ACGAACGCUGGCGGCGUGCUUAACACAUGCAAGUCGAACGGAAAGGCCCUGCUUUUGUGGGGUGCUCGAGUGGCGAACGGGUGAGUAACACGUGAGUAACCUGCCCUUGACUUUGGGAUAACUUCAGGAAACUGGGGCUAAUACCGGAUAGGAGCUCCUGCUUCAUGGUGGGGGUUGGAAAGUUUCGGCGGUUGGGGACGGACUCGCGGCUUAUCAGCUUGUUGGUGGGGUAGUGGCUUACCAAGGCUUUGACGGGUAGCCGGCCUGAGAGGGUGACCGGCCACAUUGGGACUGAGAUACGGCCCAGACUCCUACGGGAGGCAGCAGUGGGGAAUAUUGCACAAUGGGCGGAAGCCUGAUGCAGCAACGCCGCGUGCGGGAUGACGGCCUUCGGGUUGUAAACCGCUUUCGCCUGUGACGAAGCGUGAGUGACGGUAAUGGGUAAAGAAGCACCGGCUAACUACGUG
rnacentral:rRNA from 1 species